CUACGGGUGGCACCAGUAGGGAAUCUUAGACAAUGGGGGAAACCCUGAUCUAGCCAUGCCGCGUGAGUGAUGAAGGCCUUAGGGUUGUAAAGCUCUUUCGCUGGGGAAGAUAAUGACGGUACCCAGUAAAGAAACCCCGGCUAACUCCGUGCCAGCGAGCCGCGGUAAUACGGAGGGGGUUAGCGUUGUUCGGAAUUACUGGGCGUAAAGCGCACGUAGGCGGGCUAUUAAGUCAGGGGUGAAAUCCCGGGGCUCAACCCCGGAACUGCCUUUGAUACUGGUAGUCUUGAGUUCGAGAGAGGUGAGUGGAAUUCCGAGUGUAGAGGUGAAAUUCGUAGAUAUUCGGAGGAACAUCAGUGGCGAAGGCGACUCACUGGCUCGAUACUGACGCUGAGGUGCGAAAGUGUGGGGAGCAAACAGGAUUAGAUACCCUGGUAGUC
rnacentral:rRNA from 1 species